AACCCUGAUCCAGCCAUGCCGCGUGUGUGAAGAAGGCCCUCGGGUUGUAAAGCACUUUCAGUGAGGAAGAACGCCUGGUGGUUAAUACCCAUCAGGAAAGACAUCACUCACAGAAGAAGCACCGGCUAACUCCGUGCCAGCAGCCGCGGUAAUACGGAGGGUGCGAGCGUUAAUCGGAAUUACUGGGCGUAAAGCGCGCGUAGGUGGCUUGAUAAGCCGGUUGUGAAAGCCCCGGGCUCAACCUGGGAACGGCAUCCGGAACUGUCAAGCUAGAGUGCAGGAGAGGAAGGUAGAAUUCCCGGUGUAGCGGUGAAAUGCGUAGAGAUCGGGAGNGNAAUACCAGUGGCGAAGGCGGCCUUCUGGACUGACACUGACACUGAGGUGCGAAAGCGUGGGUAGCAAACAGGAUUAGAUACCCUGGUAGUCCACGCCGUAAACGAUGUCGACCAGCCGUUGGGUGCCUAGCGCACUUUGUGGCGAAGUUAACGCGAUAAGUCGACCGCCUGGGGAGUACGGCCGCAAGNGUUAAAACUCAAAUGAAUUGACGGGGGCCCGCACAAGCGGUGGAGCAUGUGGUUUAAUUCGAUGCAACGCGAAGAACCUUACCUACUCUUGACAUCCUGCGAAUUUGGUAGAGAUACCUUAGUGCCUUCGGGAACGCAGAGACAGGUGCUGCAUGGCUGUCGUCAGCUCGUGUUGUGAAAUGUUGGGUUAAGUCCCGUAACGAGCGCAACCCUUGUCCUUAUUUGCCAGCGCGUAAUGGCGGGAACUCUAAGGAGACUGCCGGUGACAAACCGGAGGAAGGUGGGGACGACGUCAAGUCAUCAUGGCCCUUACGAGUAGGGCUACACACGUGCUACAAUGGUCGGUACAAA
rnacentral:rRNA from 1 species